GUGCUUAACACAUGCAAGUCGAACGGAAAGGCCCUUCGGGGUACUCGAGUGGCGAACGGGUGAGUAACACGUGGGUGAUCUGCCCUGCACUCUGGGAUAAGCCUGGGAAACUGGGUCUAAUACCGGAUAUGAUCAUGCGCCUCAUGGUGUGUGGUGGAAAGCUUUUGCGGUGUGGGAUGGGCCCGCGGCCUAUCAGCUUGUUGGUGGGGUAAUGGCCUACCAAGGCGACGACGGGUAGCCGGCCUGAGAGGGUGACCGGCCACACUGGGACUGAGAUACGGCCCAGACUCCUACGGGAGGCAGCAGUGGGGAAUAUUGCACAAUGGGCGCAAGCCUGAUGCAGCGACGCCGCGUGGGGGAUGACGGCCUUCGGGUUGUAAACCUCUUUCAGUACCGACGAAGCGUAAGUGACGGUAGGUACAGAAGAAGCACCGGCCAACUACGUGCCAGCAGCCGCGGUAAUACGUAGGGUGCGAGCGUUGUCCGGAAUUACUGGGCGUAAAGAGCUCGUAGGUGGUUUGUCGCGUUGUUCGUGAAAUC
rnacentral:rRNA from 1 species